rnacentral:tRNA from 1 species
GGAUGUAGCUCAGUAGUAGAGUGCUUGUCUAGCAUUCAGAAAGCCCUGGGUUCAAUCCCCUGCACACCA